rnacentral:rRNA from 1 species
GUGAGGAAUAUUGGUCAAUGGACGAGAGUCUGAACCAGCCAAGUCGCGUGAAGGAAGACGGUUCUAUGAAUUGUAAACUUCUUUUGUGCAGGAAUAAAGUGGGUUACGUGUAACCUUUUGUAUGUACUGUACGAAUAAGGAUCGGCUAACUCCGUGCCAGCAGCCGCGGUAAUACGGAGGAUCCGAGCGUUAUCCGGAGUUAUUGGGUUUAAAGGGUGCGUAGGUGGAUUGAUAAGUCAGCGGUGAAAGUUUGCAGCUUAACUGUAAAAUUGCCGUUGAAACUGUCGGUCUUGAGUGCAAAUGAGGUAGGCGGAAUGUGUUGUGUAGCGGUGAAAUGCUUAGAUAUAACACAGAACUCCGAUUGCGAAGGCAGCUUACUGGGAUGCAACUGACACUGAUGCACGAAAGCGUGGGUAUCAAACAGGAUUAGAUACCCCGGUAGUCC